CCCUUAGAUGUCCGGGGCUGCACGCGCGCUACACUGUAGAAAGCAGCGUGCUUUAAAACCUUUCCUGAAAAGGAUGGGUAACCCCAGCAAAAUUCUACGUGCUUGGGAUAGAGAUUUGCAAUUUUCUCUCUUGAACGAGGAAUUCCCAGUAAGUGCGAGUCAUCAACUUGCGUUGAUUACGUCCCUGCCCUUUGUACACACCGCCCGUCGCUACUACCGAUUGAAUGGUUUAGUGAGGCCUUCGGAUCCGCGACUCGUUUUGUGGAGAAGUUGGACAAACUCAGUCAUUUAGAGGAAGUAAAAGUCGUAACA
rnacentral:rRNA from 1 species